rnacentral:snRNA from 1 species
GGAUGUGAGAGUAAGCUAGCUAAGGCUCCUAUAACCCUAUGGGUGACCAGGUUGAUUCAGGUGAUCUGGCUGUCUGUUGGAGUCCCCUUUGCCUUACAUUCCAUGAAGCUGUGUAUUUUCUCAGAGAGAAACUUCAGAGAGAGAAAAGCCUUCAUAUGAACAAGGGAAUACAAAUCUCGUGCCUCUCCAAAGCCCCCAAACGAGCUCAGACCAAUCUGUCAUUUAUAUUAAGUAGAGCAAGAAUAUUUACU